rnacentral:rRNA from 1 species
CCCUUAGAUGUCCUGGGCCGCACGCGUGCUACACUGACGCAUACAACGAGUAUUUCCAGCUCCGAGAGGUAGCUGGUAAUCAGCAAUAUGCGUCGUGAUGGGGAUUGAUCUUUGGAAUUGUGGAUCAUGAACGAGGAAUGCCUAGUAAGCGCAGUUCAUCAAACUGCGUUGAUUAAGUCCCUGCCCUUUGUACACACCGCCCGUCGCUCCUACCGAUUUCGAGUGGUCCGGUGAACCUUUCGGACUGAGAGUGGCCUCGAGUCGCUUUUAGAAAGUCAAGUAAACCACNUNACUUAGNGGAAGGAGAANUCGUANCA